rnacentral:tRNA from 1 species
AGGGUAUAAAAUUUUGUUUCUCCUUUUGCAAAGGAGAAAACCUUAAAGAAGGAUACCUUA